UUAUUUCUGAUUCAUACUUGUUUUUUCCACCCAGAACACAAUCCAAAAAGAAAAAGGUUGUUGUUGAGCAUUCAUCUUCUGAAGAAGAUCAAUACUAUGAUGGGUACAGUACCUCGGAGAACGAAGCUGACCUGCGAUCGACAGAAGGUCGCUAUGUCUCCUCUGAAACAAUACCGGAUGUGAACUUGGGAAGUGAUGAUCCUUCCUCUCAAGGACGCAUAGAACAAAGUAGUGUAAACAAGCCGGCAGAGAGCAUAUUGAGUCCGGUUCAAUAGUCAGCCAGUGAGCCGGCUGAUUCAAAUAUGAUGGUUGUGAGGGAACAGACACCGUCGGAAGCGCUUGCAAUAGUUCCGAUUCAAGUUUUUGUGCCAGUGUCCCAAACAACCACUGUGCCGGAACUUGAAGAAACACCUGAGACAGAUUUUGAACCAACCCCUCUGCUACAAAUUGAAGGAACUACAGAAACCACUCCUGAACCCCCCAACAACUUGAAGAAACCACACCCAUGCUUCCCCC